UAGGGAAUCUUGCGCAAUGGGCGAAAGCCUGACGCAGCCAUACCGCGUGAGGGAGGAAGGUCUUCGGAUUGUAAACCUCUGUCGGUGGAGAAAAACGGCGAGUGUGCUAACAGUACAUUCGAGUGAUGGUAUCCACAAAGGAAGCACCGGCUAACUUCGUGCCAGCAGCCGCGGUAAUACGAAGGGUGCAAGCGUUGUUCGGAAUUAUUGGGCGUAAAGCGCGCGCGGGCGGAUAGGCAAGUCAGAUGUGAAAUCUCGAGGCUCAACUUCGAAACUGCGUCUGAAACUACCAAUCUAGAAUGUCGGAGGGGGAAGGGGAAUAUCGCAUGUAGGGGUAAAAUCCGUAGAGAUGUGAUGGAACACCAGAGGGGAAGCCGCCUUCCUGGACGAAUAUUGACGCUUAGGCGCGAAAGCGUGGGGAGCAAACAGG
rnacentral:rRNA from 1 species